UCUAAGUCUAGAAUGAGUCUUGGUUGAAUUUUUAGAGGCCCCGAGUGCGUUUCGAGUUUUUGAGCCUAAAGUUAGUUUCUUGACGCCUUAUCGGAUACCGGGUCAAGGAGAGUUCGAAUUCAAAUUCCGACGAUUUCAUUGAGUCCGAAAUGUCAUUUUCAAGCUAGUAGCAUAUUUGGUUUGUGUUCGGGAAGUGCCAAAUGAGUUUUGGGUGAGCUUUUAAGCUUCUUGGAUGCUUUGACACUAUUUCAGCAAAUUGUGGCAACUAAAGGGUUCAUUAUUAGUUUUAAAGGUCGAAAAACUAUUCCGAAGGUUCUGAAAUUUUGAGCAUGAAUUAUAGGACUUAUCUGAAAAAUUUUGGUGCAUUUUCGCUAACCCGAGAUUGGACUUUUUUCGCAAAUAAGAAAUAAUUGUUUACCGAGUAGAAAUGAUAUUUGACUGGGCAACGAGCAUAAAAUUGAGCUCCGAUUGAACGAGCAGGUCCGUAUCAUUAUAUAAGACAUUUACAAUAAAGAAUCGGGUCAUUUCACUAUCGUAUGAGGAAAUUACGGCCUUUUUUAGUGAAAGAUUAACUGCUGUUUUUUCUGGUGCAUAACAGCCAUGUACUGUUAUAAAAAUCACAGACUGUGUUCAUUUGGUAUUUUGAGCAUAUCGGGAGUUCUAGAGAUCGGAAUGGAGUGAUUCUUACGGGUUUCUUCUUGAAUUAAUAUGAGGGUUAGUAUUCAAUCUUCAAUUCGACAUUUUCUCAUAAUUUCUUUAUCUGAUUUUUUUUCCUAUCCGUAAAUCUCUUGGGAAAAAUUGGGGUUUUAUUGAUUUGGACUCCCUUUUUUAUGAAAAAGGUAUAUUUACGAUCCUUAUGUUAUGGAUAAACUGAUUUUAACAUAAAUUAUUGAUUCAUCGAUUAUUUUCAUCAUAUUAACCGCGUACAAUUUGGACUUUCCCGGUAAAGUUAAAGUUUGAUAAAUUGAGAAUUUCAAGGUCGAUCUUAACUCCGUUUUUGAUGAAAUUUCAUAUUUGAACUUAUCUAAGCAUGGGUAAGAUGUUUUUCAAGAAAUAUUUCAUUUUCGAGUCGGGGUUUCGGAUCCGAAUAUUUUAGGCUUCUUCAAGAACGAGGAUUUUCCUUCAAAUUGAGUUUGUGAAUUGAUUUCAACUCCGUUUUCAAAUUGGUUUUCACCAUUAGCUUCCAAAUACUUUAAGGAUCAUUUUACAUAAAAAAUUUCCAGAUUUGGGUAUCGUUUUCCGAUAUGAGACUUUUGGACCGUUUUGCCCUUUUCCCCUAAAUUUCUUGAUUUUGGUGUCAUUGGACUCGAAUUGUGAUUGUGAAUAAUUGUUUGAAUAGAUUAUCGUGAUCCGGAUUAUACUCGGAAAGGAAAGGCUCAAGUCAAGUAACUUUUGGAGUUCGUUUUAAGGCAAGUGGCUUCCAAACUUUGUAAAACUCUUAGACUACGCAUGACUACUUUCCUAAUUGUGUUGGGGAGUAAGGGGGAUUGAGGAUGGGUUUUAUUUGUUGAUUGAAAUUGUUGUAAAUGAAAGAUGGGGAAAUAAAACGAGCUAAAUGUGUUAUAUGUAACUUGAAUUUGUUGAAUAAGUCAUGUGAUAACUGAUAUUGAGGGGAUAGAAGAGCAUGAGUAGGCUAUGAUUGAUACAGACAUUGAUGUUGAAACAGAUGAUGUGUAAUACUAUGAUGUGAUCGUGAUAUGAUUGUGAUUGAUGACAUGUGCAUAUUCAUUAUUCAUCCCAUGUGUGAACUAUCUGUUGCAUGAGUUCUGAGACACUGAUAUGAGGAUGGAUGGAUAUGAGACACAGUUGAGACUAGCUCCGGCUAGCGAUUUGGAUGCCGAUGGGAUCUGGUUCCGGCGGUGAUACAUGGUCCAUGUGUGGCCCCCAUGGGUUCUGAUUUGAGUAUUCAGCGCAGACUGAUUACGUCAACAGAUGUGUAUCGUAGGACAAACAUGCAUCACGACUACAUGACAUCAUUAUUGCAUUUUGCAUCGCAUUUGCCUUAUCUUUGUCUGUGAUGUGUGGAUUGUAUCGGUUUACCCUUCUUAUGUGAAAUUUGAUCUACUUGCUCUUAUUUGUUGAUCUGAGGUUGAUGAGGAUAUACUGUUGGUUCUGGCUGUUGAAUAUGAUCUGUUUAGUAUAGGUUGGUUGGUUUGCUGCUAGAUUGAAGUUUCGGUGGUUCGGUUGGGAUUGAAAGAAGUUGUUUGUAGCUGCUAGUUUAGCUUAGUUUAGUGUUACUUGCGAGUACCUAUUGCUUUUGGUACUCACCCUUGCUUCUACACAGUUGUGUAGGUUGACAGCUCUAUCAGAUCCGGCUUAUUACUCAUCUUCAGAUUAGAGCUUCCAGACUUACUUGAGAGGUAGCGGUUCAUUCCAGACGUGCCCUUGAGUUAUCUUUACUUUCAAUUUUGUUCUAUUCGAGAACUAUACUCUGAGACUUGUAUAUUUUUAUUCAAAUUCCGUAUUUAGAGGUUUGUACAUGUGACAACCAAUUCUGGGUAGUGUUGAGUCUUAAUUAAAGUCUUCCGCUUAUUUAUUAUCUUUUAUUCUCGUAUUUCUACUUCUCUAUCGUUGUGGUUGGGUUAGGCUGACGUGUCCGGUGGGAAAUGGACACGUGCCAUCACAUCCGGAUUUGGGAUGUGACAAACAAUUUCUUCAAUUCCACACAUGUCGGUGUGGGUGGGUUAGGCUGACGUGUCCGGUGGAAAAUGGACACGUGCCAUCACAUCCGGAUUUGGGGUGUGACAGUGUGCCUCAGAUAGAUGAUAAUGCAAAUAACAACCAAAUUUUGAGAUAUUCAUAAUUUCAUUUUCUAACCAUAAUGUCAGUCAUGUAACGUCUAAAAUAGAUAAUUAUAACGAAAACAGAUAGACAUAGCUCAUUCUAAAUUCCCCUUACUCACCUCAUUUUGGACAUUUGAAUACACCAUAUUACACAUUUUAUACAUAUUUUAUUGUUCAAUUGUUGAUAGCUUUUUAAUUUUUGCGAUUUUAAUCGAAAAGCUUAAUAAUAAUCUUAUCAUUCCCUCCUUAUUCUUAUUUCAAUUUGAUCAUCUCUUUUGCUAUUUCCAUUACGUUAUGUUCAUUACAUUAACAAUAUGAAAAUGAUUAACUGAUUUUGAAUUGAUUACGUUGUUUGUGACCUCACAAUAUAAUAAAUGAACUUUAGGUUAUACGAACUUCUGUUGCUCGUUUUGGAAAACGAUUUGUUUCUCUUUUCCUUUUUAAUUCUUUCUAUCAAAUUUCCCAAACUAAAUAUAAACUAUUUUUUUUAUUUUAUAUUAUUCAUAUUGAAGUUCGACUACAUACCUUUUUUUUGUCAAAAUGCAUUUCAAUAAUAAUAAUAAUAAUAACAAUAAAGAAAUUAAUGUUAAAGAAGAAAAUCCUGUGUGGUCGCAAAAUGUACAAGUGUAGACUCAAUUAAAGUCCAUUAAUUUGAUACAUCUAUUUAGUAGUUUUCCUGAAACAAAUUUAUUGCAUGUUUGACUACGUUUUUAAAAUUAAAUUAUUUUUUAAAUUGUUUUUUUAUAAAAGUUUUUAACAAAAUCAUAUUUUUACGAGAAACAACUUGUAUUUAAACAAUAAAUUUAAAAGUGUUAUAAUCCAUUGCAUUGUGUGGAUUAUCCAUUAGAUUUAUUAAAGAAUUAAUUGGAUUCAUGUAUGGGUGCUUCCAAGGUGAUAAGAACCUUAGGGGAUAACUAUGUAUCUACUACUUUGGUGACCUUUGGGAGUGAUAUCUCAACACUAUAAAUAGAGAUAUCACUCACCAUUUGAAAUACACUUGAAUAAGAAGAAAAGUCAUCUUCUUUAUCUCUAUAGCUUGUCUUCUUCUCUUUAUUAUAUUAUUCUGAGCUUAUAUUUUAUAACAAAAAAACAUUAUUAAGCAUCUCUAAUUAAUAUUCAUCUAAACUUUUAAAAGUGUUUCUUAGUAUUUUUUUUUUCCUCAAAUGUGUUUUUAGCAAAAAAACUACACAUCUUUUAGUUUCUGCUUCUGCUACUUUACCGAAGUACUUAUUUUUUUAAAAUAAAAAUUUGGUCAAACACUUUAAUUUUAGCCUCGCAAAAAUUUACCCAAGUAGAUUAUUACUUCCAACAAUAUAUUUAAUAUGUAUAGAUCGGAAACAUUUUAUACCUAAUGUAAAAUUUUGGAACAGAUCGAAUUAGUUGAGCUUAAAGAGGAUACGGACCACCGGAUGAUAAAAAUAAAAGAGAGAGAAAGAGUGUGUGUUUUAAAUAUGAAUUUUGCUUGUUUGUUCCUUUACUUCUGCAGGUCGCGAGACAGCAACCUUUUCGUUACUAUAUAUAUAUAUAUAUAGCUAAUAGAGUCUUUAUAUAUAGUAGGUGGACGAAGAUUUUAUGGUCAAACGCGCUAAAGCGUUUGUGAAAAAACAUUUGAUCUAGUCGCCUAGGUGUGUUUUGCUAAUCAUUAGGUGAUAGUUCAGGUAAAAUGUUCAAAUUCUCAAUAGUUUAGGGUAUGAAGCUCAAAAUUGAGAUAAUUUAAAUGCGUUUGUUAAUCUUAAUUCUUAUUUUAACAUUAGGUGAAUUCAAAAUUUGAAAAUUUGAAAAUUAUAAAUUCAUAUAAUGAUCUCAAACUAAUCAGUAUAAACUGAUAAGUGAGUUUUUUUUUUAAUUUCAGGAGAUAAGUGAGUUCAUUAUCAAUUUAUAUAUAUUUAGUGGGGCUUAAUACAUAUAUUUGCUUACCUGAUAUCUGUUGCUGGUGGAAUUGACAGGUAUCUCGUAAAAUUAGUUGAGGUGGAUAAAAAUUGACCCGAACACCACGGUCAUAAAAAAAAUACAAAUAUUUGCUUCUAAAUAAAAUAAAAUUCAUGUCAAUCUACAGUAUAUAAUUAACAAUGUUAAUUUAUUAAAUUAAUUUACUUAAUAAAUACCUUUUAAAGAGAAGCACAAAUUAACUUAGGCCGGGUAAAAUGUAACAAAGGAGUAUAUGAUGAAUGGAUUGAAUCUCACAUGCAUCGGUUUAAGAUUAUUAUUUUUUUCCAUUGAUCUAAUUCUUAAGGUGUGAGUUAUAAGGUUCAAAAUGAAAUUUGACAUAAUAUAAGAGUCAGAUCCAAUUCAUUGGGCCUUUAGAUAAGGGGGAGGGGUGGAAUGCCCUAGUAUCAGUUGAAGGGGUGUUUGUGUGUGAAAAUACCUCUAAACCAUAAAUGUGUACUGUAAUGACCCUAAAGGUCAUUUUUGGAAAUUUUCAUAAAAUGACCGUUUUACCCUUCCCGAUAGUUGCCCCGAGUCCUAAUUGUUGUAUUUUCGAAGUUGGUUUGAAGGAAAAUUGAUGAAAAGUUGAGUUUUUAAGAGUUAAAGUUUGGUUAAAAGUGCUAUUUCGAGUCAUUUGGAGUUUCGAGACUCGAAUCGGAUUUCCGUUGAUUCCAGCAGUUUUAGAAUGUCGAAACGGGUCUAUGAGAAUUUACGGAGUCGAAUUUGGAGUUAAAACGAAGAUUUGAGGUCCUAAGUUGCCAAAAUUUCAUUUGAUCAAGAGUUGACUUUGGUCAACAAACGAGGUUCCGGUGCUCGAAAUGGAAUUCCGAGGGCACCGUUGGAUUCAGGGGGUGAUUCUAAGUCUAGAAUGAGUCUUGGUUGAAUUUUUAGAGGCCCCGAGUGCGUUUCGAGUUUUUGAGCCUAAAGUUAGUUUCUUGACACCUUAUCGGAUACCGGGUCAAAGAGAUCUCGAAUUCAAAUUCCGACGAUUUCAUUGAGUCCGAAAUGUCAUUUUCAAGCUAGUAGCAUAUUUGGUUUGUGUUCGGGAAGUGCCAAAUGAGUUUUGGGUGAGCUUUUAAGCUUCUUGGAUGCUUUGACACUAUUUCAGCAAAU
rnacentral:lncRNA from 1 species